GACAGAGGGUGCAAACGUUGUUCGGAAUUACUGGGCGUAAAGCGUGUGUAGGCGGCUUUGUAAGUCGGAUGUGAAAGCCCCGGGCUCAACCCGGGAAGUGCACUCGAUACUGCGAAGCUUGAGUACUGGAGAGGUUGGCGGAAUUCUCGGUGUAGAGGUGAAAUUCGUAGAUAUCGAGAGGAACACCGGUGGCGAAGGCGGCCAACUGGACAGAUACUGACGCUGAGACACGAAAGCGUGGGGAGCAAACAGG
rnacentral:rRNA from 1 species